UUAAUUUCGGGGUGNCAGGCGAUACGGGCAUAACUAGAGUGCUGUAGGGGAGACUGGAAUUCCUGGUGUAGCGGUGGAAUGCGCAGAUNUCAGGAGGAACACCGAUGGCGAAGGCAGGUCUNUGGGCAGUAACUGACGCUGAGGAGCGAAAGCAUGGGGAGCGAACAGGAUUAGAUACCCUGGUAGUCCAUGCUGUAAACGGUGGGCGUUAGGUGUGGGGACCGGUUUGGUUUCUGUGCCGUAGCUAACGCAUUAAGCGCCCCGCCUGGGGAGUACGGCCGCAAGGCUAAAACUCAAAGGAAUUGACGGGGGCCCGCACAAGCGGCGGAGCAUGUGGAUUAAUUCGAUGCAACGCGAAGAACCUUACCUGGGUUUGACAUGCACCAGACGGUUGUAGAGAUACGUACCUCCCUUUGUGGUUAGUGUGCAGGUGGUGCAUGGUUGUCGUCAGCUCGUGUCGUGAGAUGUUGGGUUAAGUCCCGCAACGAGCGCAACCCUUGUCUUAUGUUGCCAGCACUUUGGGUGGGGACUCAUGAGAGACUGCCGGGGUUAACUCGGAGGAAGGUGGGGAUGACGUCAAAUCAUCAUGCCCUUUAUGCCCAGGGCUUCACACAUGCUACAAUGGUUAGUACAACGCGCUGCGAACCUGUGAGGGUGAGCGAAUCGCUGAAAGCUAAUCUCAGUUCGGAUUGGGGUCUGCAACUCGACCCCAUGAAGUCGGAGUCGCUAGUAAUCGCAGAUCAGCAAUGCUGCGGUGAAUACGUUCCCGGGCCUUGUACACACCGCCCGUCACGUCAUGAAAGUUGGUAACACCCGAAGCCCAUGG
rnacentral:rRNA from 1 species